GCCAGACGUGGUGGCACAUUCCUGUAAUCCCAGCUACUUGGGAGACUGAGGCAGGAGAAUCGCUUGAACCCAGGAGGUGGAGGUUGUGGUGAGCUAAGAUCGCGCCAUUGUGCUCCAGCCUGGGCAAGAAGAGCGAAACUCUGUCUCAAAAAANNNNNNNNNNUUUUUUGAGACAGAGUUUCGCUCUUCUUGCCCAGGCUGGAGCACAAUGGCGCGAUCUUAGCUCACCACAACCUCCACCUCCUGGGUUCAAGCGAUUCUCCUGCCUCAGU
rnacentral:SRP_RNA from 1 species